rnacentral:rRNA from 1 species
GACGAACGCUGGCGGCGUGCUUAACACAUGCAAGUCGAACGGAAAGGCCCUGCUUUUGUGGGGUGCUCGAGUGGCGAACGGGUGCGUAACACGUGAGUAACCUGCCCUUGACUGUGGGAUAACUUCAGGAAACUGGGGCUAAUACCGGAUAGGAGCUCCUGCUGCUUGGUGGGGGUUGGAAAGUUUCGGCGGUUGGGGAUGGACUCGCGGCUUAUCAGCUUGUUGGUGGGGUAGUGGCUUACCAAGGUUUUGACGGGUAGCCGGCCUGAGAGGGUGACCGGCCACAUUGGGACUGGGAUACGGCCCGGACUCCAACGGGAGGCAGCAGUGGGGAAUAUUGCACGAUGGGCGGAAGCCUGAUGCAGGAACGCCGCGUGCUGGAUGACGGCCUUCGGGUUGGAACGCGCUUUCGCCUGGGACGAAGCGUGAGUGACGGUAAUGGGUAAAGAAGCACCGGCUAACUACGUG